CGCCUACGGGACGCAGCAGUAGGGAAUCUUCCACAAUGGGCGAAGGCCUGAUGGAGCAACGCCGCGUGGGUGAAGAAGGUCUUCGGAUCGUAAAACCCUGUUGUUAGAGAAGAAAGUGCGUGAGAGUAACUGUUCACGUUUCGACGGUAUCUAACCAGAAAGCCACGGCUAACUACGUGCCAGCAGCCGCGGUAAUACGUAGGUGGCAAGCGUUAUCCGGAUUUAUUGGGCGUAAAGGGAGCGCAGGCGGCAUGGCAAGUCUGAUGUGAAAACCCGGGGCCCAACCCCGGGAGUGCAUUGGAAAC
rnacentral:rRNA from 1 species